rnacentral:rRNA from 1 species
UACGUAGGGUGCAAGCGUUAAUCGGAAUUACUGGGCGUAAAGCGUGCGCAGGCGGUUAUGUAAGACAGUUGUGAAAUCCCCGGGCUCAACCUGGGAACUGCAUCUGUGACUGCAUAGCUAGAGUACGGUAGAGGGGGAUGGAAUUCCGCGUGUAGCAGUGAAAUGCGUAGAUAUGCGGAGGAACACCGAUGGCGAAGGCAGCCCCCUGGGAUAACACUGACGCUCAUGCACGAAAGCGUGGGGAGCAAACAGG